CAAGUCGAACGCGAAAGGGGGGCAACCCCCGAGUGGAGUGGCGAACGGGUGAGUAAUACAUCGGAACGUGUCCAGUAGCGGGGGAUAACCUCUCGAAAGAGAGGCUAAUACCGCAUACGACCUACGGGUGAAAGAGGGGGAUCGCAAGACCUCUCACUAUUGGAGCGGCCGAUGUCGGAUUAGCUAGUUGGCGGGGUAAAAGCCCACCAAGGCGACGAUCCGUAGCUGGUCUGAGAGGACGGCCAGCCACACUGGAACUGAGACACGGUCCAGACUCCUACGGGAGGCAGCAGUGGGGAAUUUUGGACAAUGGGCGCAAGCCUGAUCCAGCCAUGCCGCGUGAGUGAAGAAGGCCUUCGGGUUGUAAAGCUCUUUCGGCUGGGACGAAAAGGUCUGUGUUAACACCACGGAUCCAUGACGGUACCAGCAGAAGAAGCACCGGCUAACUACGUGCCAGCAGCCGCGGUAAUACGUAGGGUGCAGGCGUUAAUCGGAAUUACUGGGCGUAAAGCGUGCGCAGGCGGUUUGCUAAGACAGGUGUGAAAUCCCCGGGCUUAACCUGGGAACUGCGCUUGUUACUGGCAAGCUGGAGUGUGGCAGAGGGGGGUGGAAUUCCACGUGUAGCAGUGAAAUGCGUAGAGAUGUGGAGGAACACCGAUGGCGAAGGCAGCCCCCUGGGCUAACACUGACGCUCAUGCACGAAAGCGUGGGGAGCAAACAGGAUUAGAUACCCUGGUAGUCCACGCCCUAAACUAUGUCAACUGGUUGUCGGGGAAGCAAUUCCUUGGUAACGAAGCUAACGCGUGAAGUUGACCGCCUGGGGAGUACGGCCGCAAGGUUAAACU
rnacentral:rRNA from 1 species